rnacentral:rRNA from 1 species
AUGGCUCAAGGGGUGGCUGCGGGCGGAGGAUCAAGCACGGCUGCAGGCGCCGGAGCAAGCACCGCGGCGGACGGCGACCCAGGCACGGCGAACGGCGACCAAGGCGGGGCUAGGGAUGGCUCAUCGGUGAGGUCCGCUGCUGGCGGCCAUGGCGCGGCUAUGCAGCACUUGCCGGUGAGCUCAGCUGCGGGCGCAGGCCAUGGCGAUGCUGCGGCCGGUGCAGGCCAUGGCGAUGCUGCAAGGUUGGGCGUGGAUGCGGUCUUGGGCCACGGUGCGGCUGCAGACUUAGAAGGGAUGGAUCCAAAUUCUUGUUAUGUGCUGAAAAUUAGAUUGCUUGGCAACCCAAAAAAAGCUAGAAAAGAGGCCAUGUGUUUUUAUUUCGAGAAGGUUAUUGAUUCCGACUUGACAAAUUAUGAAGAUUUGGUUGAAUCAAUUAUAGUGCAGUACCGGCCACGUUAUUUGGAAGUUGCGCAUGUUCACUACUAUGAUGAAGUUCUGAAAACGUUUCCAGAAAUAAAAUCAGACCAAGAGUUGAUGUAUAUGUUUGAGAAACACGCUAAGUCAAAGAUGGUGCAAAUGUUCAUUGUAUAUUGGGAACCCUCUGAACCAUAUGAGCCUAUCAUUGAGUAUUAUAGUGAUGUGCAUAUCCAACCUAAGAACAACGUAGACCAAGAUGAUGAUAGUUAUCUUCGCAACCCAAUACCGGAGAAUGAACAUGUUGGGAUUGAUGAAGAGAAUAUAUAUUUGAAGGAAGAACCUAAAGCUCUAAAUGUGGUUCUUUUUCCUGAUAAAGAAAAGGACCAAGACUAUGUUGUUGAUGGUGAGAGUGAGGAUGAGAGUGAGGAUGGGAGUGAGGAUGAGAGCGAGGACGAGACUGAAGUAGAGGAGGAUGAGGAGUUGCACGAGGUGAAAAAACCUUUUGGUCAUGAUUCCUCUAGUGCAAGAAGGAAAAAGAAGGUGAAGAAUGCAACUAAGUACUGGAUUGUGAGAAGGGUGCAGGUUACGGCAGUGGCGCACGGGCAGGGGCACUGCAAUGUAUAUGCGGUCUUUGGGGACAGCAGGAUGGUUUGGCUUCUCGAUGAUCACUGGGACCAUCAACACCGGUCGUACGCUAUGGCGGUGCAGCAGCGGGAGCUUGCACCUCUGAAGCUUCGGUCUCACGGGAUCAGCCUUGGAGGGAUGAGCUAUGAUGAGCGGUACACACCUUAUUUGGACGAUGCCAGUUGUAGGCACACUGGAGGUAUUGGUGGUUGUCUGCUCGCACUUUCCAUAUGGAGCUGGGAGCGUUUGCCGGUUGGACGACCUAAGACCGUGAAGUACGAGGAUUGGGACGAUAAAGACGACCCACUACGGCUCCCCACUUGGGCUUACAAGUGGGAUGUGUUAAAUGAGACGACGGAUGAUCCCUCUAUAAUGUACAAGUUGUACAAGAGCGAGCUGGACGCCAUCACGCCUGAGCAGGUGGAAUGGGAGCCGUAUGGAAAAGGAGAGAGUUUUGGUAACCCUAUAGAGUUCAGGCUUAAUCCGAUGUGCAUUAGGGAUAGGGAUCUCUGGCAUAUGCAGUGCCCACUGAUAUGCAACUGGGCGGUUGAGCUUCACCUGCCACAUCGGGUGUUCCGGCAGUUUGGUUUGUUCCAGUCACACCCGCCGGAGUGGGAGGACACGGACAAGUUGCUACACGCGUUGGAUAGGAAAAAGCAGCGGAAGAUCAAGGAUUGGGCCAGCCAUCACAGGAAGUAUGUCGUGCAGUUCGCUCUUAGUGUGGAGCAAGCAAGGGCUGGAAAACGAGCCCAGCUUCGUGAGCACUGCCCGGAUGCGUUCAACAACUAUCUCACAUGGUUUCUUGCAAGUACCCGCGUGGAGGUAUGCCAGCCCGCGUAUGCUGAGGAGAUUCUGGAGGAACCAACCGUUUUUGAUGAGCAGCGCCAGGGCCAAAAGUUAAGGCGGCUAUCAAACCUUUUCGGUUGUCGUGACCCCGAGUAUGUAUCACCUGAACGGUCUAGGUCGGCGACACCAUCAGAUCCCGCUUCGGGGCAGAGCCAUGGUGAACCUUUCACGGAUGAGGAUGUGGGUGGGGUCACCCAAGAGGUUGCUGAUGAUAUGACCUUGGGGACGUACCGGGCUCGGUCUGCAUACGAGUUGAAGCCUAGGAGGGGAAUCAACAAGUACACACCUGAAGACUUCACCCAAAGAGGCAAAAGGACGGUGGGCACCUCGCGGAUGGCGGCUUUGGAUGACUAUUUGGAUGACGAUGUCGAACCGGAGGCGGAGCCGGAGCCGGAGCGUGUUCCUCUUCCUAGGAAGGUGAAGAAGAUAAGCGUCAAGAGGGGGGAGGACCCAGCAAGCGUGGAAAGCACUAGUCAUCUUAGUUUUUUUAUAAUGUUGAACUUCGAGUGCGAUUUGUUAUGUCGUUGA